UACGUAGGGGGCGAGCGUUGUCCGGAUUUAUUGGGCGUAAAGAGCGUGUAGGCGGCUUUACAGGUCCGUUGUGAAAACUCGAGGCUCAACCUCGAGACGUCGGCGGAAACCAUCUGGCUAGAGUCCGGAAGAGGAGAGUGGAAUUCCUGGUGUAGCGGUGAAAUGCGCAGAUAUCAGGAGGAACACCGGUGGCGAAGGCGGGUCUCUGGGCCGAUACUGACGCUGAGGAGCGAAAGCGUGGGGAGCGAACAGG
rnacentral:rRNA from 1 species